rnacentral:lncRNA from 1 species
CUCGAAGUGGCGGCCGAUUUCGAGCCCCCCACCCCCCACCCGCUUCCCCGCACCCGCGCUAACGCCCCGCCGCCCCCUCCUCCCCGCUGUGUGUCCGAGCAGAGCAGAAGAGCUGCAAGGAGGACAAGGAGCUGCGGUUCAGCGACCUGGACGACCUGGAGGAGGAGGAGGAGGAGGAGGAGGCGGGGAAGCCGGAGAAGGGCCGGGCCAGCUCCCUGCAGGAAGCCCCCGGCCUCGGCGCGGCGCUGCCCGAGGCUCGGCGGAGCGACUGCAGCCUGCCCGGCCCCUUCCGCGCCUUUCCCUGCGCCAAGGCCCCCGCCGCGGACUUCGCCCCGGCCGGCCCGCCGCCGCCCUACGCGCCCGCGGAGAAGCCGCGCAUCUGGUCGCUGGCGCGCACCGCCGGGGCCAGCGCGGCGCGCAGGGGCAGCCCCGAGGGCCGCGGCGCGGAGGGAGGCGGCGGCGCGGCGGGGGAGCAGCCCCUGCCCGCCAAGGCUUUCCGGAGCUCCGCGUUCAACCUGCAGCCGCUCCCGCGAAGCUGCGCGUCCCACCGCGGCCUGGGGGAGCCGUGCCAGUACGCGGCGGCGGGCGAAGGCUUCGGGCGGGGCGGCAAGGGCGGCCCGGGAGGCGCCGAGCUGGGCGGGACCUGCCUGGACCGGCUGCGGACGGCGUUCCGGCCGGUGCUGCGGAGGUGAGGGCCGCCCGCCCCUUCCCAAGCGCUGGCGACGGGGCUCCGGCUGCAGCGAGGCUCUCGGCUUGAAACAACGAAAGGAAGCUCUCCCCAGCCCGGCGAGGAGCUGCCCGCCCCGCCGGCCCGGCCCGCGGCCCUGCCGGCCUUGCCCUCGCCGGGGAGCGGCCCGCCGCGGCGCAGCGUGCUGCUCACAUGGGGCCGAGGCGCGGACCGGCGCCCCCCGGCCACCUGCUCGCCGCUCGUUCAACACCCGUGAUCGACGUCUUUGCCAAAAAAAAACACCAACCCACCAACAAAAAGCAAACAAGAAAGACUAAUCUUUCUCUGACCUCCCCCCCCCCGACGUGGUUUGUUUUCCCCUUCCCUGCCGCCCCUGUCCCCCGCUCCGCCGAGGUGCGGCCGCUCCGCGCCGUGCCCGGGAGGCGGCGGGAGGCGGCGCAGGUUACGCCGGGCCGUUGUACUUCCCGUCGCUGUACACAGAUACCGCUGACAGUAUUUUUCCGAGUCUGUAAUUAAGACGGAUGAGCUGACCGCCGCGAGGCCGUCCCGUGACCCAUGGAGCUCUGCAGCCCCGAGCCGGAGCGGCCCCCGGCCCCGGGCACCCGCCGCCCGCCCCGGGGCACGGCCGGGGCACCCCCGGGCAGCGGGUGGCAACCGGGCGGCGAAGUAGGACGUUGUUAGUGGGUCACCGCCGUCAGUCAGUGAAAAGAGCAGCGCUGCACUUUACAGGACAGACAAGAAAGGGAAACCGUAUCUCUGCAUUAUUUCUGUUUAAUUAAAAGUGUCAUCAAACACUUUGUGUUGAGACUAAUAAACCAAGCAGGGAUGAGGAAAGAAUGUUUCUUUGUUCCUGUCUCUAGAACCAGUGGCAAUAAUUUAAAUUAAUAACUGUGGUAAUUAAGAGGUCAUCUAUAGAUCAACCCGAUACCUGCUAUUUCCAAGUUCACCGGGGUCAACAUUUACAUUAAGUCAUUUGUGGUCAAUAGAGUCCAAUGAAUUCUGCCUUAAUAAAUCAGGGAAAUCAAUCUUGAAUAUCUAGUAGGCUUCUAUAUGUUUACCAAAGGCCACCACGACAAGUGGGGCUGCAGAGCUGGGAGCCCUCUGGCUUUGCGAGCGGAGAAGCAGCUCGUAGGGGAAAGGAGAAGCUGCAGGUCAAGGCGGGGAGGUGGCGGGGGCUGCCCCCGGCCCCGGCCCGGCUGCGCGAAGGGGCGCGGAGAGGCCCCCGGGCUGCGGGGGCACCUGGCAAAGGAGGGGAACUUCGCCGGGCUUCCCAGGGACCCGGGUGGGGGAGUGUGUGUGGGGGGU